rnacentral:misc_RNA from 1 species
UGAGCUUCAUUCGACCAAUUUCAUGUUGCUCUGUUUCAUCUCCAGCAACCUCAGUGAAACCUCAAAAACCUAUAUUUUUAAGGCCACCCACCUUCAAAACAACCAUAUCAGACCUUCAAAAAUGGCAUCAUUGGGCUAAAUCCCUAAUUUCUUCUGUGGGUUCCACUUUCUUGGAACUGGACAAUGGUCCAGACUCCGAAUUGUUGCUCAGGGAGCUAAAUUGGCUUGUUGAAGAUGCAAUUGAAACACCAAAAUCUUUCUUGCAACAACCCCACAAAAAUUACAAUGAUAAUAGCUCAGUUGCAGUUCGGGCGUCUUUGGAACAACUGUAUAUGUUGUGGAAACGAAGGGUAGAAGAAAGAAUGCCAUUUCAGUAUGUGGUUGGCUGUGAACAUUGGAGGGAUUUGGUUUUGAGUGUUCAAGAA